UUUAUUUAUAUAAAGCCAUAGCUUAAAAAAAAAAACUAAGAAGCAUUUAUUGUACAAAACUGGUUUUUUGUUGAAUAAAUUUGAAAAUCAUUAAAAGGAUCAGUAAUGAAGCAUGCUUCUCUAUUUUUGAAGAAAAGAAACUAAUGGAACUGCGAAAAAGUUUAUGUUUUCGUAUACACACUCACAUCGUGAGGUUUUUAUUCAAGUUUAAAGACAGUUACAAAACGCUAAAAGGCCAUUAUCUCAAGCCCGUGACUGAUAGGAGAAACCGUUAACUGUGAGGCCUCCAUCAACACAAAUGGUUUGACCAGUGAUGUAGGACGCUGCAGGUAGACACAAGAAGACCACUAGCGAUGCAACUUCAUUUGGCUCUCCAGCACGACCAAGUGGAGUUCUACAGAACAAUUUUUCCUUGAAACUGACGUCCUCAAGAUACUUUAAGAAACAAAAGUGAGUUAGGGAUUAGAGGAAGCCAGUAGCUAAAUUCACAAAAUAAGAUCUGUAAAUUAUAUAUUAUUAUUACAGAUUGAGACUGUCGAGUCUUGACAACAUUAGGUGCAACAGCAUUGGCUCUUAUGCCGUCUUUUGCCCAUUCACAUGCCAAAUUUCUAGCUAGCUGGUUCAGAGCUCCUAAUAAAAGCAAUUCAACAAAAUAUUAAAAAAAUGAAGAAAAAUUUGUUGAUUAGUCAGUCAUGCAAACUGCAUCUAGUAGUAACUAUUAAUACCUUUGGUUACACCAUAAAUGGAUCCACACUCAAAUGAUACAACCCCUGCAACAGAAGACAAGAAGACGAUGCUUCCAUAACCUGAAGCCUUUAAGAGUGGAUAUGAAAGCUGGCAAAAAUGAAAAGCAGCUUCCAAGUUUGUUGAGCUAUGGUAAGCAAAAUCUUCUGCCACAUAUUCUAUUGUUGGCUUCCCGCGAAGUACUCCCACGUUAUUUACCUAUAUGAACAAAAGGAAGAUUUCUCUUUAGAAAAGUUCCGUUACCGAAUAUGCUUAGUUGUUUACUUGUUUAUUAAAACCAUUUACUUACAAGAAUGUUGAGUUUACCAUCGAACAGGGAGGAGACAUGUUGUAUCAAUGUUUCUCUCUCAGAGCGUGAGGUUACAUCACAGACUGAGCCUUUGACUUGAAACCCUUUAUUUUCCCAUUCACUUAAACUUUGAUUGAGCAGAGUUUCAGAUAUGUCACAUACGUGGAUUUUAGCUCCAAAAUUAGCUAAUUCCUCUACUAUGGCAUACCUAGACAUUCCAGUUCCUUAAAUAUAUUAUGUUAAAUAGAAUCAGAAGAAAGGUUAAAAGAGGUGAUAUUGUAGAUCAAACUGAGAAGAAAGGUGUACCCGAUUCCGCUGGCUCCACCAGUUACAAGAGCAGUCAUACCUUGAAGACUCCAUCUUUUAUCCAUUUUUUUUUGUUUUUGUUUGUGAUGAUUAGCAAUGACCAGAAAUGCCACAGAUAAUAUACAUACGAUGAAUGUGGAUGAGAUAAGUCUUAGAGCACCCGCAAUGGGAAUCCUUAAGGGGAAAUUCUUAGAGAAAAUAUAAUUAAAUAAUCGAUAGACCCCACCAAAAGCUAAGGAUUCAAUCCUUAAAAUUCUUAAAUAAGGACUCUUUCUUAGUGAAUCCUUGCACUAUUUGCGGGUCCCAACGACAUGUGGCGACCAGCAAUUGGUUGAUAUUUAUUUUUUUUAUCUAAAAAAUAAAAAAUAAAUAAUAAUACUUAAAAAAUCAAAAUACACUUUUUCUAAGGACUCCCCUUAGAAUAACACCAUUGCGGGUGCUCUUAUAGCGGAAGCAAUCAUCGACAAGGCCACGAUAACAGACGUUGCAGGCGUUAGUAACUCCUUUAGCAGGUCUAGGCUGAGGCUGAGGCCUCUCAUUCAAAAACACAACCUUUGCGCUGUUGAUCACAUACGUCUGAAUGCUGAAGAUAUCUAAAUGCUUCUGAAUCUCACUUACCCUUAUCACAUCAUGAUAAGAUGAUCUCCUUAUCUGCAUAAUCAAAGGCCAGCAGCAACAUUCAAUAUCAAACUUUCUCCAAAAGCAGUCUGAAAAUAUGAAAUGCAAACGCACCUGAAUGGUACGAUGAUCCUUGUGAUGGGCAAGACAGAGAGAGCAGAGGGAGCCGUUAGUGCAGUCCAAACAAUACAUGUUGCAUUCGCUCUUAGGUGAGUGUCCAUGGAAGUUGCAUUGAACAAAAAAGGGUUCUUUAAGUAAAGGUUUCAGCCAUGAAGGCCACCACUUCCCUUCUUCCUCCUCUCCACCACCACCUCCCUGAUAAUAAAAAAAAAAACCAUUAACAACAUGAUUCGUCAGCUUCUUAUCUACCAGAAACACCAUUGACUUCAAACAUAUCAUAAAGUCUUCUCCUUUAUAGAUUUAAGGAGACUCUUGACUAGUUCUCUCAGGCUUUGAUGGUUUUUCUAAAUUUCAUAGAAAAGCAUUUUGAACGGCGAUAAAUACUUAAGCCGUGAAUCUAGUUUUGAAAUAAAUCUUAGAAUCAAAUAAUGAAUCGGUAGAACUUGAAGAACAUUGCGAGCAGACAAUGCAGAACAAUGAGUCAACAAUGUAAUAAUCUAAAAAGAGGUGACUUUUUUUUAAAGACAUACCAUGACUGUUCUGUUCUUAGGAUUGAUUUCUCGAUUUGGGUUCUCGUGGUCUUCAAUGGCCAUUGUCGGAAUGCGGUAAAAGAGUAGACUUUUCUGAGUAAAAGGGGUUCUAGAGAGAGAAUGCGAGAAAGGGUUUAAGAAAGCGAGAGAGAGAGAUGGGUUUCUUGCAGAGUGGGUUUUAGAGAGAAGAAGAGGAGAAAGAGAAAGAUUCCUCCUUAUUCUACUCCCUAUGCCGACUAACCGAACCUAACAUCUGAGCCUAAGAUUGUUUUGGUUUUUAAAAUCGAACCUAAUUCCGAACCUAAACUCCGAGCGUAAGAUGCGUUGGCUUCAAGGAACUCUCCUUGGCUCUUCUCUUUUAUUAUUCCUUUUGUAUUUUUAAAAUAUCUUUUUGUCCUCCUUCGGUCUUAUCUCUCAUAACUAUAUACCUUUUUUUUCCAUUGUAAAUUGUUACUAGGUGUUUUGCCCGCACAUGCGGGCAUGUCUUAUUAAUCCAAAAAUCCGCAUUAUAAAACUCUAAUUGGUGAACAUGAUGAAAGAAAAAUAUUAUGGUAAAUUCUUUGUUCCUCAAAAUUUAUACCAGUUAUGUUGAAAUUUUAGUCAAAUUUUUGAAAGGUAUAUCUCAUUUUUUUCUUCUAAAUUCCCCAUGGAGGAAUGAAUUUAUAAGAAAAAAAUUUUCCUAUGCAAUUUUGAUAAGGAACAAAUUGAACAAAAAUUCAUAUUUUUUUAUUUUUUCAAUUCCAAAAUUUUAUUUUUUAUUUUGUUCAUUUUUUUUCAUUCUUCUAGUGGUUACCAACUGAAGCUAUAGUGUUUCACGGAUUAAACUUAAACUGGUUUAAAGUAAAAGCAAAAAAAAAUAUUUUGAACUCAGUCACAAAUUAAGUUAUUAUUUAUGAUUUUAAAUAGUUAAAUCAAACAUCAAAUUAUUUAUAUAUGCCAAAAAAACGUUCAUCAAACUAUGUACUUAUUAUUGUGUUAAAAGUUUUAAAACACUCAUAUAUUAGAAAUAGUUUAGAAAAUAUCUUUAUAUAAAUAUUUUUGUUAAUAUUUAAUUAUAAACUGUUUUAUAUCUUAGUUUUUUUACUUUAUAAUAAAAAAUAUUAUUUUCAGAUAGCAACACAAUAUAUAUAAGAAUUCUCUUAAUUUUUAAAUAUAUUUUCACAAUUUUAUUAUAUAAAUAAGAACUAAUAAUAAAUUAAUGACCUAUAUAAAAGCUUAAAACCUAAUAAAAUAUGACAAAUAAGAAAAUAAAAAUUUUAUUAUAACAUAUAGAUUUAAAUAUCACUAAAUCAAAAUUCGUUUUUAAUUAUAUAUAAAAUUCAUUACGGAUAUUUUUUAAUUAAUAAAUUAGUGAUUCAGCUAAAAAUUAUUAAUAAAUCAAUGACUAAGAUAAAACCUAAUAAAAACAUGACAAAUAAGUAAAAUUGACUAAAAUCAUGGAAAACAUGACAAGUAAGCAAAAUUAACUAAAAUCAUGGAAAUCAUGACAAAUAAGCUAAAUCACUUCAUAAAUAAUAGUAUAGAUCAUUAUUUUCCCUAGUUUUGUUGACAUUUUUUGUUUUGUUCUAUGUCAUAUACAUCUUUAGUUGCAGGAGUUGUGAUGAACCAUGGACAAACAGAGUUAACCCUUAUGUUAUCACUCGCCCACUCGCAAGCCAAGUUUCUCCCUAGCUGAUUCAGGGCUCCUGGAAUGAAAAAAUUAAUGUUAUUAUAGAAGCAAAUGAUCAUUAACUUUUGAGUAUGCGCAUAUUUAUGCCUUUGGUUGCUCCAUAGAUGGAUGUACGACUCAAAUUUACAACCCCAGCAAUGGAAGACAUGAGCACAAUGUUCCCUGAACCAGAGGCUUUCAACAACGGGUGCGCGAGCUGUGCGAGAUGAAAUGCUGACUCCAGAUUUGUAGCCAUGAUAAAUGAAAAUUCUUCUGAUGUACACUCUAUGGUCGGCUUCACAACACCCGUUCCCACAUUGCUUACCUAUAUACACCCAAACAAACCAAACACAACAUGAUUUGGCACUUAUUGAGAAUCGGUUUCUCACUACAAGCUGAUAAAGCAUUAGCUUGAGGUCUGUAAAUUUGUAAGUUAUUUUAGGGCCAAAAUUUCCUGUUUGUUGUUAGAUCAGCUGUCAUAGUUUGCUGGCUUUAUAGAUAAUGUCAUGUUCAAAUAUGUAAUGCAUUUAUUUUUCUUCUAUUUUUAUGGUUGUAGAUCCCAUUUAAUAAUACUUUUAAUUCAAAGAUAGAAACUAUUUUUUCUCUAUGAAUAUAUCAUUUUCUGGUAAAAGCUGACCCAGGGUUGAAAAAUUUCUUCACAUUUUUUUUUUAAUUGUGUAAAGGACCCAGAAAAUGAUGGUUAUAUACUUUGGUAAAACUCAGUGCCAGCUCUGCCCUUAUGGAUCCAAGCUGGACGAGAAGGAGCUUCUACAUAAACUUACAAAUAUGUUGAGUUUUCCUUGGAAGACAGAUGAAACGGUUUCCAUGAUUUUCUCUCGUUGGUCUGGAGAAGAAACGUCGCAGACAGAAGUGGUGAGCUGAAACCCCUUUGCUUGCCAUUCAUGUAAGCUUUCUUGAAGCUGAGUUUCGUCUCUGGCACACGUAUGGACUCUGGCCCCCAACAUGGCUAGUUCUUUCACUACAGCUUCCCUAUUCAUAUCACUCAGGAAAUAUGAGUUAAAUAUCAUAGAUCCUUUUUUCACGAGUGGUUUUAUUUUCUUGACUAAAUUGAACUAGUAUACAUUAAAUAAGCGCCCAGAUUCAAAAAUGAACUACUAAGGAUUGGAACUGACCCGAGGCCUUUGGUACCACCAGUGACAAGAGCGGUCAUUCCUCUAAGGUUCCAUCUAGGUUUGUCUCCCAGGCUUUCCCUUGUCUUAGCCAUUUCUGAUUAUCAGUCAGAUUGUUUCGUGGAGAUUGGAAAUACUCAGUCCAGAAAAGCCAUAAUAUAAUGACCAUUAUUUGGUCACCACAUUUAAUCUAGACCGUCUAGACCACACAUAUGAUAGAUCUUUGUAAUGAUGUAACUAUGUAAGGCUGCGUGUAAAUAUUUUGGAAAUUCUUGCUAGAUUAAUCCAUUAAACGAGAAAAUGGUUGUAACGCGCGGAGAACUAGAAUAUCACGUGAUACCAUGUCGAAGGAACUCGACAAAAUGACCCCUAAUGUAACCUUUCAGUUCAUAGAAAAUGGUUGUAACGCUCAGAGAACUAGAAUAUCACCUGAUAGAGGUGUAUAACGCAACCUUUCAGUUCAUUCAAAAGUCGCCUGAUAAUCUGAGUGAUUAUUGUUUGCAUGGUUUUUAGAUUUUAAUUUUUGGUUUUUAGAUUUUAGUUUUAGAUUUUAGAUUUUACUUUUUAGUUUUUGAUUUUGCUGUAAAUUUUAGUUUUUCAAAAAACUUGAAUGGUGACACUAGAUUUUGGUUUUUGUUUUUACAAACUAAAAUAAGUUAUUAUAAUAAUAUAAUAGUUUUCAGAAAACAGUAAAAUAAAAAAUAACAUUAUCAUUGUAAAAUAAAAUUAAAAUAUUUAUAUUUUUAAAAAUGGUAAAAAUACAUAUUUAUGUAAUUUAUUUUAACAUAAUAUAGUUUUUAAAUAAAAAAUAUUAUGUAAUAAAUGUAUAGUAACUAGAGAAAUUGCCACAAAUAUCAGAUUCAUAGUACCACUUUUCAUGUUUACAAUAACCACUUUUACCCUCACUUUUAAUAAAAGGUAAAAUACAAUUAUACCCUUAGAGUUAACUAAUAUAGACUUAGAGUUUAGAGUUAAGGGGUGAGGUAGAGUUUUUGGAAUGUGAAAUUUAUGAUUCUAAUAAAUAUAUAAAUACUUAAAAAAUAUAUAAAAAUUUUUAAAAAAUAGUUUCAAACACAAAUUUCGUUUUUCAAAAAGAAAUUUGAAAAACAUUAAAAAAAAUCGAAAAAAAAAAUCAAAAAUCUUUUUUUUUUAUAAAAAAGUUUGGAUUUGAAAAAGUAUAAUUCGAAAACAUAAAAAAAAUUUACAUUUUUUUUUUUUAUUUUAACUUUUUAUUUUAACUUUUUAUUUUUUUAUUUUUAAUUUUUUUUUAUUUUUUUACUUUUUUUAUUUUUUUUUGUUUUCUUAUUGAAAUAAUGAUUUAUUAUAUAUAUAAAUAACAAGGGCAUAAGAGUCUUUUGCCACUUAAUGAAAAAUGUAUUUUUGAAAAUGUCUCAUUAGUGAUGGUAAAAAUGAAAAGUGGUACCAUGAAAGUGGUAAACAUGUAGUUUCCCCUAACUAUAACUAACAAAUUUAAUUAAAUUAAUAUAACUUUUAUAGUAUAAAUUAUUAUUUACAUAAUUAUAAAAUUAAUCUAUCUAAAAAUUGUUUUAUAAUUUGUAUUCAUGUGUUUUAGGAUAAAUGUAGCUUUUACAAAGUAGAUAUUUUUUUAUAAAAUUAAUAUUUUCUGCAAAAAAAAUAAAAAUUAAUAAAAUAAAAAUAUUAAUAAUAACAUAUUAUUUACUAUAAAAUUGUAAAUAGCUCAAUUAAGUUCCUAAUACAAGAAGAAUGUUUAUUUAUAUAAAGCCAUAGCUUAAAAAAAAAAACUAAGAAGCAUUUAUUGUACAAAACUGGUUUUUUGUUGAAUAAAUUUGAAAAUCAUUAAAAGGAUCAGUAAUGAAGCAUGCUUCUCUAUUUUUGAAGAAAAGAAACUAAUGGAACUGCGAAAAAGUUUAUGUUUUCGUAUACACACUCACAUCGUGAGGUUUUUAUUCAAGUUUAAAGACAGUUACAAAACGCUAAAAGGCCAUUAUCUCAAGCCCGUGACUGAUAGGAGAAACCGUUAACUGUGAGGCCUCCAUCAACACAAAUGGUUUGACCAGUGAUGUA
rnacentral:lncRNA from 1 species